rnacentral:lncRNA from 1 species
GCUAAAGACAAGACAGCACCCGUGCUUUAAUCCUCUGCCCCAUAAGCUUCUUGAAGUCAGAAUUAGAGCCUGAGCUGAUGGAGCGGAAAACCUCGUUCUGGGUGUCUGGCGUUUUGUGAGGCCCCGCCCCGCAGCCAUCUGGCCGGUCCAAAGGUGGCAUCCCUACUUCCUGCUUCGCACAGCAGGUCGCUGAGGUGUGAGCUGGUGUCGCUUAGGCUGCACAAAGUGAGCCAUCUGGAGCCCCAGGCUGCCCACCUGCGUCUCGUGCCACUGCCUGUGGCCUGUGCCAGUGCCCUGAGCUGA